ACCCUUAAUUUUUCCCGUUGCAUGGGGUUGCGACUACUUUUUCCAGUUGCACCCUUAAUAUUUCUCGUUGCAUGUUAUUGUUAAAUACCUUCUCCAUCUCAUAUUUAAUUCAUGUGCUAAUCAGCUGACUAAAGAAAUAAAAUUAAUGUGCAAAUUACCUCGUAUUCUACGUUAGUGCACAUACAUGAUUUGUGCAAAUUUGAAACUCCAAAUGUGCAGUUCAUAAAAAAUAAUAGAUGACUAAAAAACACACACCAACCAUUUGUGAUAAACAAAAUCGGAUGAACUAAAUAAACGAAAUAUAAAAGAGCAAACACAUAUAAUGUGCUUUAUUAGUUAGUUGCAUGUGAAGAAAAGAAAAGAAACGACAGAAGAUAACUAAGACAAUAAAAAACAAAAGAUGAAGCAAGGUAUAAAUAAGAAAUAAAAAUAAUAAAGAAGAAAAAGAAGACAACAGGAAAAUAGACAUGACGAAGAGUCGAACCCAGAACCUAUCUGCAAGAGCCAGACGAUGCAAAACACAGAUCCAGC
rnacentral:lncRNA from 1 species